rnacentral:rRNA from 1 species
AUUGAACGCUGGCGGCAUGCCUUACACACGCAAGUCGAACGGUAACAGGUCUUCGGAUGCUGACGAGUGGCGAACGGGUGAGUAAUACAUCGGAACGUGCCCGAUCGUGGGGGAUAACGAAGCGAAAGCUUUGCUAAUACCGCAUACGAUCUACGGAUGAAAGCAGGGGACCGCAAGGCCUUGCGCGAACGGAGCGGCCGAUGGCAGAUUAGGUAGUUGGUGGGAUAAAAGCUUACCAAGCCGACGAUCUGUAGCUGGUCUGAGAGGACGACCAGCCACACUGGGACUGAGACACGGCCCAGACUCCUACGGGAGGCAGCAGUGGGGAAUUUUGGACAAUGGGCGAAAGCCUGAUCCAGCCAUGCCGCGUGCAGGAUGAAGGCCUUCGGGUUGUAAACUGCUUUUGUACGGAACGAAAAGACUCUGGUUAAUACCUGGGGUCCAUGACGGUACCGUAAGAAUAAGCACCGGCUAACUACGUGCCAGCAGCCGCAGUAAAAC